UCCUACGGGGAGGCAGCAGUGGGGAAUAUUGGACAAUGGGGGCGAUCCAGCNAUGCCGGUGUGUGAAGAAGGCNUUCGGGUUGUAAAGCUCUUUCAGUGGGGAGGAAAAGNUGUCGGUUAAUUCCCAACGGUCCUGACGUUACCCACAGAAGAAGCACGGGUUAAUUCCGUGCCACCAGCCGCGGUAAUACGGAGGGNGCGAGGNUNUCUNGGAAUUUUGGGGGUUAAAGCGCACGUAGGUGGUUUUUUAAUCUAAUUGGGAAAGGCCCGGGUUCACCCUGGGAAUUCCAGUGGGAAUUGGCAGGCUGGAGUGCAGUAGAGGGGUGUGGAAUUUCCUGGUUAGGGGUGAAAUGGGUAGAAAUNGGAAGGACCACCAGUGGGGAAGGGGACUUCUGGGAUGGACACUGACGGAGGUGGGAAAGGUGGGGGAGCAACCAGGAUUAAUUCCCGGUANUCCCCCCCUUAAAGGAUGUUUAUUAGCCGAGGGGGAUUNGAUCCUUUAGUGGCGCAGCUAACGCAUUAANCNC
rnacentral:rRNA from 1 species